rnacentral:sRNA from 1 species
AACGUGCUUUCGCUAAAGCAGCUUAAAGUUUAAAGGAGCUUUUUAGCAUUAAUAUCCUUUGUGUUCAAUUGUGCAUAAAAUUGAACUCGUGAUUGUGUGUGUGCGUGCCUCAAAGGAUACUAACGAAACCAAGCAGCAAACAUAAAUUUAGCACACCGGAAACGGAAACACAGAUUGCACUCCUGCUUCUUCUUCUUCUACAAACACACCUUGCGCGUCUCUCCCACAAUUUUCGAUCAACAAUACAAAUUAAAUAAAAAUAAAAAACAUAAAUAAGGAAAAUGGAAAAACGCUCAACGGCGACAGCAGCAGCAACAAGAACAACAUUUUCAGCAAAAUUCGAUGAAAUUUGAGUACAAUAAUUAGCUAAAAAAAGGCAAACAGCAAAAA